ensembl:lncRNA
CAUUAGGUUGCAUUCUGAUGGCUGACUGAAAGGGAACCUGGGGCCAGAUGGAAUAAGUGGUUAUCAAUAAUGCAAAUUUUAUUUACAGUCCCACUCAGAGGUUUGUAUAAAUCUUCUCAUUCAAAAAAUGUUUCAUACUAUAACCAGCAUGGCUACCAAACUAUCCCAUUUGAUUUAAAACCUGGGGUUCUGGCUAUUGUUUUUUCUUAUUAUUUUAUCUUUUUGUUUUCCAAAGGCUAUUUUGGAAUACUAUGAUGCAGGGGCAGCCUCUAAAAGCAAUUUCAGUUAACAACCUUAUGAAGCUGGCUGAGAGAAUAUGCAAAGUUGCCAUGACAAAUCUAGCUCAGUUAAAUACAAAAAAAAAUCUUGUAAACUUAGAAUCAUUUGCAUGCUUUUUUGUUUAUUACAUAAUUCUUUAUAUUUUGUUCCAUAGUAAAAAAAAAAAAAAAAAAAAAAACUCUGAAAGGUAGCAGUGUUUUCAAAACAUCUCUACCAAAUUGUAUCUACUUUCUAUCCAUCCCUUAAAUUUUACCUAGAAAAAGCUGACAGAUUUUACUGCAGUUUUUUUUCCCCUUUUCCCAGAACCUGCUACUAUUUGCAGUACCGUGACCCAGUUUCUCCAACAGCAUCAUUAAAACUUUAACUUUAUGUUUAUUCAAAUUUACCCCCAGUGGAAAACCAAUAUAACCCAGUCAUAUCAUUUUUGCCAAGACCUGAAACUCUGCCAGCUGUGUCUAUACGAAAUGCCAGCCAUCCAUCACCACGAAGAUACCUGUCAUACACAUCCAUCAUUUUUCACCACUGCAGUCACAUAAACCAAAAAACAAACAAGUACUCACACACAUGCAAACACACAUACACAUAAAGGAUGCAUUUCCAUCUGAGUUAUCUUCAUAGUGAAACACUCACACACACAGAGAAAACACACACACUACAUAUAAAGUGACGCCUACUCACACAUGGGAGUCAUUCAGUCAGACAUCUGUAUCCAUCAUUCGUCC